rnacentral:rRNA from 1 species
AGAAUCAACGCUGGCGGCGUGCCUCAGACAUGCAAGUCGAACGCGAAAGUCCCCUUCGGGGGACAAGUAGAGUGGCGCACGGGUGAGUAACACGUAGGUAAUCUACCUUCGGAUGGGGAAUAACAACCGGAAACGGUUGCUAAUACCGCAUAAUGCAGCGGCACCUAAUGGUGACAGUUGUUAAAGCGGGGGAUCGAAAGACCUCGCGUCUGAAGAGGAGCCUGCGGCGGAUUAGCUAGUUGGUAGGUAACGGCCUACCAAGGCGACGAUCC